UACGGAGGGUGCAAGCAUUAAUCGGAUUUAUUGGGCGUAAAGGGCGCGUAGGCGGGUAUGUAAGUCAGAUGUGAAAGCCCGGAGCUCAACUCCGGAACAGCAUUUGAAACUGCACAUCUAGAGGGUAGGCGGAGAAAAAUAGAAUUCCACAAGUAGCGGUGAAAUGCGUAGAUAUGUGGAAGAAAUACCGGUGGCGAAGGCGAUUUUCUAGCUUAUACCUGACGCUGAGGCGCGAAAGCAGGGGAUCAAACAGG
rnacentral:rRNA from 1 species